rnacentral:lncRNA from 1 species
CACGAUCGAACCCGAGGUCCCGGAGCCGCUCGCCUCGGUGCCUCGGGUAAGCCCGGGUCCUGGCUGCUGCGGCCGGACCACGGACGGCUCCCCCUGCUGGGAAAGGGGGGUAGGGCAAGGAGGGGCCGACGGGCCCGCAUCACCAACAACCCGCUCCCGCCUCGGGUCGGCUGCAGGGGCCCCCGCCUCGGGGCCACUCGUCCCGGCCGACGAAGAAGCGCCGUCCGUCCUCGCCCUCUUCCGAGGCUGGGGCACAGCACCCCCGGCCUCGGCCUCUCGCCUCCUCAGGCGAGAGAAAAGUGAUGUGUUGCUGGUCGGCAUGCGUGGAAUAUCUGAAAUCAA